ACAAAUGCGAUGAAAAAGAGUGCGCGCUGCAGUCCGCUUUUCCAGAGAGCCGGGGGAGGUGAAAGCCCGGCAGAGCGGCGCGGUGCGCUGUCACUUUUGAGCAGAGGCGGGGAAUGGAGUAGUCGCCUCCGGUUCUGCCCCACGUUAUCGGGGCAUCAAGGGGCGCAGGCCGCAGUGUCUGCGCAAUUUGGGUGGUACCGCGGUAUGUAGAUUUACAGCCGUCCCAUGG
rnacentral:ncRNA from 1 species